rnacentral:lncRNA from 1 species
AAAAUGGGAAUAACUGAUGAUACUUGAUGAUGUUGCUGGCAUGGUCUAACAUACUUCCUCGCAUGAGGCCUCCUCUGCCUCCCCACAGACACUGCAUUAGUUUCUCCUUCCUUCUUUUUGGAGAAACUACCACCAUAUUUAUUGCUUGAAGACGCUUCAUCUUUAGACAAUCGUCCUUCUCAGACACCUUCUUCCAACCACAUCCCCAUGUUCACCAUUUCAGUGAAAUCAUUAGGAGCACUAACAAUCAUGCGUUCAUAGUAAAAUGAAC